UGGGGAAUAUUGGACAAUGGGGGCAACCCUGAUCCAGCAAUGCCGCGUGAGUGAUGAAGGCCUUAGGGUUGUAAAGCUCUUUCGGCGGGGACGAUGAUGACGGUACCCGCAGAAGAAGCCCCGGCUAACUUCGUGCCAGCAGCCGCGGUAAUACGAAGGGGGCGAGCGUUGUUCGGAUUUACUGGGCGUAAAGGGCGCGUAGGCGGCUCUGAAAGUCAGAUGUGAAAGCCCCGGGCUUAACCUGGGAAUUGCAUUUGAUACUCUGGAGCUGGAGUACGGGAGAGGAGAGUGGAAUUCCCAGUGUAGAGGUGAAAUUCGUAGAUAUUGGGAAGAACACCGGUGGCGAAGGCGGCUCUCUGGACCGUAACUGACGCUGAGGCGCGAAAGCGUGGGGAGCAAACAGGAUUAGAUACCCUGGUAGUCCACGCCGUAAACGAUGUGCGCUAGACGUUGGAGGGCUUAGCUUUCCAGUGUCGCAGCUAACGCGAUAAGCGCACCGCCUGGGGAGUACGGUCGCAAGA
rnacentral:rRNA from 1 species